rnacentral:rRNA from 1 species
UGGGGAAUAUUGCACAAUGGGGGAAACCCUGAUGCAGCGACGCCGCGUGAAGGAAGAAGUAUUUCGGUAUGUAAACUUCUAUCAGCAGGGAAGAAGAUGACGGUACCUGACUAAGAAGCCCCGGCUAACUACGUGCCAGCAGCCGCGGUAAUACGUAGGGGGCAAGCGUUAUCCGGAUUUACUGGGUGUAAAGGGAGCGUAGACGGAGCGGCAAGUCUGGAGUGAAAACCCAGGGCUUAACCCUGGGACUGCUUUGGAAACUGUCGUUCUUGAGUGCCGGAGGGGUAAGCGGAAUUCCUAGUGUAGCGGUGAAAUGCGUAGAUAUUAGGAGGAACACCAGUGGCGAAGGCGGCUUACUGGACGGCAACUGACGUUGAGGCUCGAAAGCGUGGGGAGCAAACA